rnacentral:siRNA from 1 species
AGACGAUGGUCCUGUUCGUUUGCC